AGAGUUUGAUCCUGGCUCAGGAUCAACGCUGGCGGCGUGCAUGAGACAUGCAAGUCGAACGGACGGUCGAGGCUUGCCUGGACCGUUAGUGGCGGACGGCUGAGUAACGCGUGGGUGACCUGCCCCGAAGUGGGGAAUAACUGCCCGAAAGGGUGGCUAAUACCGCAUGUGCCGGUACGUUCAUUCGUACCAGCAAAGCCGCAAGGCGCUUCGGGAGGGGCCUGCGUCCGAUUAGCUCGUUGGUGGGGUAACGGCUCACCAAGGCGACGAUCGGUAGGUGGUCUGAGAGGACGAUCACCCAGACUGGGACUGAGACACGGCCCAGACUCCUACGGGAGGCAGCAGUCGGGAAUUUUGCGCAAUGGACGAAAGUCUGACGCAGCAACGCCGCGUGAGGGAUGACGGCCUUCGGGUUGUAAACCUCUUUUCUCAGGGAAGAUAAUGACGGUACCUGAGGAAUAAGCCACGGCUAACUACGUGCCAGCAGCCGCGGUAAUUCA
rnacentral:rRNA from 1 species